UACGGAGGGGGCAAGCGUUGUUCGGAUUUACUGGGCGUAAAGGGUGUGUAGGCGGUUGCGCAAGUCUGGUGUGAAAUCUUCACCGCUUAACGGGAAGAGGUCACUGGAAACUGCGUAACUCGAGUAUGGUAGAGGCAAGCGGAAUUCCUGGUGUAGCGGUGGAAUGUGUAGAUAUCAAGAGGAACACCUGCGGCGAAGGCGGGUUGCUGGGCUGACACUGACGCUGAGGCGCGAAAGCCAGGGGAGCGAACGGG
rnacentral:rRNA from 1 species